UUAGGCUCCCAAAGGCAC
rnacentral:snRNA from 1 species